GAUCCUGGCUCAGGAUGAACGCUGGCGGCGUGCUUAACACAUGCAAGUCGAACGAGAAAUGAAGACGGAAACCUUCGGGCGGAAGGCUUCACUUCGAGUGGCGGACGGGUGAGUAACGCGUGGGUAACCUGCCUCAUACAGGGGGAUAACAGUUGGAAACGACUGUUAAUACCGCAUAAGACCACAGCACCGCAUGGUGCGGGGGUAAAAACUCCGGUGGUAUGAGAUGGACCCGCGUUCGAUUAGCCAGUUGGCGGGG
rnacentral:rRNA from 1 species